UUUGGGAUUUUCAAAAACAAUUUUUCAAAUUUUUAUGAAUUUUCGGAUUUUUAUGUCAAAACACACUGAAAUACUCCAAAACAGCUUAAAAAAAAAACUUAAAACAGUAAGGAACAACACUAGAAGUAAUGGGUGAUAAUUUUCUACGAAUUUUAUGCAAAACACUAGUUACCCCCCCUACACUUAAAUCAAAUAUUGUCCUCAAUGUUUCAAGCAUAUACUCACACCAAAAACAAGCAAAUAACAAACGACAAAUAAACAUGACAA
rnacentral:lncRNA from 1 species